CUUAUCAUGUACGUAUUCUCCACAUAUAAAUAAACAUAUAUACUAAGGCUCUUCAUACACAUCAACAUUGUUAGUACUAUUGUAUAUCUCUUUUUUGUAGGGUUUUUUGAAGGGCAAUCCACACCAUGAAAAAAGCUUCAUCAAGCAAGACCACAACACCAAUAGUAAACAUUAAUGAAAAAUAUGGGCAAUGUAAGAGAAAUUUCUUGGUAAAGAGUGGAGGAUAUUUAAUGGAUGGAUGCAUGGAGUUUAUGGUGAGUAGGGCAGGAGGUCCUAAUGCUGAACUCACUUGUGAUGCUUGUGGUUGUCAUAGAAGCUUCCAUAAGAAAGAGUGGCAUUUCAGUGAAGCUGUUGUUUCUACUUCAUCAGCUCAACCACCUAAGGCUCCUUGAGGAUUAUGUUCUUUGAGUCAAUAAUAAUAAUAAGUUAGUUAAUUAUUGUAAUGGACUAAUUAAUUUCUUUUGGUUUGGUGUUUUUGAUUUGGUGUUGUUAUUGUGAAUUAUGAACUUGGUGUCCUAUGAAUUUGAUGUUAUGGUUUUUUUUUUUUUAAGUGCAAAAUCCCUUAUAUGUUUGAUUAAAUAUUCAUUUUAAUUCCGAUAAUUUGGACACGACACAAUUUAAUCACUCAUAAAAAAGUAAUAAUUUGGACAAAGUUCAAUUUAAUCCUUGGAAGAAAAAAUCAAAUUGAUCCGUGAUAAUUCAUAUAGAGGACAACAUACUAGUGAACACGUUAAAUUUCAUAUUAAUAAUUUUGUUUUAUCUUUUCUAUAGCCUAUUUUCUAUAAGUUGUGUUGUAAAAGAUUUAAUCUGGUGGCACAUAAAUAACUUAAAUUGUUGUAUUAAAAAUUCAAUUUUUUUUAUUAGUGAUUGUCUUGUUUUUAACACUCUAUACGACAUGUAUGCAUUGAAGACAAGUGUUUUUGUCUAAUAAAUAUUAUCAACUAUUAAUGUGUUUGUAUGGAAUUGUUAGGGACUCGUUUGAGUAUUGUUUUGUUGAUCGAAAUUUGAGUUGCAUCCAAAAAUAUUUUGGACUAAUUUAGAUGUUUGGUCUUUAUGUUUUUAUAAUCUUCAUUCUUUUUGAAUUUGCCUUGCAUUAGAAACCCUUUUUUAAUUGAAUUAUAAUCUACUGAAGAUUUCAAUGCAAUUUGGUCCAAUUCAAUGUCUACUACAUUAUGAGUGAUGUUGUGUCUCAUUUCUCUUUUAUUAGUAGACAAUAAUUUCUUCUUAAUUAUUGGGUUUUAUUUCGUGGCAUUUUGUUAUGUAAUUCUUUUAGCGUUAAUUAUAAAAAAAAAAAUGGAUGGAUUAAAUUUGAACCAAAUGCAUUCACUAUCUUUGUCCUGAUUAUAAGCCUUAUUUGAGUUUGUCCCCAACUAAACCGUUCUUUCAUAUUAUAAUUAGGAGCCUUUAUUUAUUUAUUUUUGUUAAUAUACUCUUUAUUAAUACAACUAAUUUAAAAUGUUAUUAAUUUGUUUAUUAACUUUUGAAAAUGUUAUUUUCACUUUAAGUCUUACACCAUGUUGAGUGAGUCUUGAUUUAUAUAUAUUAAAAAAUGAAAAAAUUAAAUUAAAUACAUUUAUUUAUAAAGAGUAUUUUAGUAACAUUCACACAUUAAAUUCAUUACCAACUUUUAUAUGUGAAAAAGUAAUGAAAACAAGAUAAAAAAUACUAUCUAUUUAUUUGUAUUUAAGACUGGACGAAGAUUACUAUUUUUCUUUCAUAUAGUAAAGUAAUUAUAUCAAAUUUUAUCCUUUAAAUUAGUUUUUUUUAAGGAAUCCUUUAAAUUAGUUGAGAGACGAAAUCUACUUUUGUAAUUUUAAUUAAAUAAAAAUCAAAUUUGAAGGAUUUCAGCACUGUAUUUAUUUUUUAUAAAAAUCAAAUUUGAAGGAUUUCAGCACUGUAUUUAUUUUUUUAGUCACGACAAUAAAUGUUCCUCUCUUUGUAAAGAAUUUUUAUGAAGUUUCCGUGAUUUAUGUCUUUCAGUCUAAUUUAGUUUUAAAGGUAAAAUUUUAUUUAUAUUACUCCUUCUAUCUAUUAUCUAUGUUAAUAAGUUUCUUUCUAUUCUAUUCUAUUCUAUUCUAUUUAUUUAUUUAUUACUCCUUCUAUCUAUUGAUUUGCACUAGAUUUUGUACAAAUAAGGAAAAAAGGGGAAAAAAAUAAUUGUGCUCCAUAUAGAUUGCAAAACAUUUUAAUUGGCACGGUCAUGUAGUCGUACAAAUUGUAUUUCAAUUCGUCUUAAAUAUUUAGCAAAAGUUUGUUUGGGUCUUACAUCUAUGAAAAUGAAAAUUUUAUAGUUCCUAAGCUUGGUAUCUUAAUUAAUUAUUCCAAUCAAAGUGGCAUGCAGUUUGAAGUGAAUGGUGGUUUGGAUAAGGUGGAAAAAAGGUUCAUCUUGAUAGCUAGAUUUGAUGCCUAUAGGUGUUACUCCUUAUUUGUAGAGAAGAGUUUAGGAUUUUGAUUCAUGAUAAAGUCAAUGGUUUCAAUGUAAAAUCUUGCUAUAAUGUCAUUAAUUAUUCUUUUAAUCAGCAUACAACAUAUUAUUGUACAUGUCUAUGGUGAACUCGCUAAAAUAUAUGUCUUUGGUGAUGUAUUUUUUAAGACAUAAGUGCACUCUUUUAAAGAAGAUAAAUGAUAGUACACAUAUUUUCUUUUUGAGUAUUUUUGCUAGGAAAGUAUAGCAACUUGUUUUUGAUUGGUUGUGGUGGCUAUGGAUCCUAACUUGGAAGGGAUGUUUCAAUUUCUAAAGGUUAGCAUAUUUGUUUAGAAAACAUCAAUCUUGGAAAGAGAAAUGAUUGAUUUGUUUAUUAAAAACUAAAAUCAACCUUGUUGACUUUUUAUUUUGAUCGAGUUAAAGUAUUCCUUAUAAUGGUAUAGUUUUUUAAUUUCAAACUUUUUAUUUACAAAUGAUAAUAAUCUCAUUAUUUUAUCUCCUAUGCAUUGGAUAUUUUUUUUUAUACAAAUAUUUAUCUUAUGUGAUAUUGUCUAGACUAAUUAAAAUAUCUAGAUCGGUCUGAUUUAAAAUGAGAGUAAAUAUGUAUUAAUAUUUUACUUUAAAGUUAAAAUGAUAAUAUUAUACUUAAAUUGAUUUACCUAAUCUUAGAUCAUAUUUAAAAUAAAAUUUUAAAUAUUAAAAUAUUAUAAUAUAUAUCUUGUGUGAUGCAGGCAAAUGUGUUCAAGCAUUUUACUAGUAUAUAUCAUUAAAAGAAUAACUCUCAAUAUACUAUUAUUAUAACCAAAGAUAAAAUAAAAAAAUAAAAAUAAAAAAGUUAAUGUGGAUUGUGUCUAGUCGAAAUAUGUCUAUCUUGUGUGACGCAUGUAAAUGCGCUCUUGAGCAUUUUGCUAGUAUAUAUUAUUAGAAGAAAUUUUUUCAAUAUACUAUUAUAUGAAACUAAUAUGAGUUGAGUUUAACUGAAGAGUUAAACAUUCACAACAUGAUGAACUAAAAUUCGAAUAUUCACAGAGAAAAAUAUCUAUAUUUUAGUUUUAUAUUGAUUCGCUUUGUAUGUGAUUGAUUACCUUUUGUGCAUGUUAAGCAAAAACAUUCAUGAUUAUAUUAAAAUUCACAGCAACAAAAAAAAACUACUUCACCAAUAAAUUAAAAUCAAAAUUAAUACUUAUUUAAAUAUAAAUUAUAUCAACAAUAAAGGAAAUAAAAAUUAAAAAUUAACUAUUUAAAAAUAUUAAGUUUGAUGACAUUUCAAGGAGUUAAAUUCAUCUAUAUAUAAUUAAUUAUGUGAUAAGCAGACUCACAAUACCUUUACACAACUGAAAGCCUCAUACAACUCAAAGGCAGUAACCACUAAGAGGUAAAAUCAUAAUUUAACCUUGCAUAUUUUGCUUUAAUCCGUGCUCAAUACAAGAAUUUAAUAUUCUUAAGGCUAAUUGCAUAUCAUUUAAAAUCGUCUGAUUAAAAAUAAUAGAAUUACAAAUUCUCCAUAAAGACCAAAUACAUGUCAUCCAAAUAUUUUUAUUUUAGUUAUAAAGUGAUGAGUUUCUUCAUUUUAAAAUGAGUGUCAUUUAAAUUUUUUUGUAUAAAUCUUAUUAAUAUAUAAUAAUUAUAAAAAACAGAAUAGUCAUUUUGCCUCUUCUUGUAGUCCUACAUGAUUCACAUUAAAAAAUAAAUAAAUCAUUUUGUCAAAUACCCUUUUAAACUAUUGAUGAUUUAUCCAAGAUUAAAAUAAAAUUACGCUUUGAAAGUAGUAUACAAUAUUGUAACAAUUGAAGUUAAAAUUAAAAGAAAAUAAAUAAGAUUACCUUGAAAACUAAAAAUAAUAUUAUUUUGAAACGAUUUUUGUUUUAUUAAAAUGGCAUUCAUAGUAAUUAGAAAGAAAUAAAAUCGUAAAGUAUGCAUGUGAGGGCACUCCCCUUUAAUUAAUGCACCAAAGUAUGGCUUGAAAAGUGUUAGUUGGCCAAAGUAUCUUAUAGAUUUGAGAAAUAAUACGUCAAAGCUUUUCUAUGAUAAAAAACAUUGAGGAAACAAGAAAUUAAUUAAUCACGAACUUAAAUUUGAAUCUUUAUUGAAAGAGAUAUGUACAUUUACUUAUUUUUUAAUCAGAUUCUUACGAAUUGAUUAGUAACUCACCUUAAAGAAUAAAGUGAGAAUUUUUCUCAUGGUAGAAAAUUUUAUGAAGAGUAAUUUGAAAAAUCCAAUUAUUUUUUUAUUACUUUGAGAAAUUUAAAAUAAUAAUUACCUUUUUAGGGAGUGUUAAAAUAGUUUUUCUUCUUAUAUAUGAGACUAGAAGAAGUAAUUUUAUUUUAAUAUUAUUAAAGAAAAUAUUCUAUAUAUUUGUUUCUUUACUUAAUAUUCAUGACCAAUGUACAAGAAUUAAUAAAUUUUGGUUAUUAAAAAUGUAUAAUAAUUAAGUAAAAAAGUAAAAAAGUUUUUACAUUUAAAUUUUCGAGAUGCGCCUUUUUCCAAAAUAUUCUUCUAUUAUUAGGAGAUCUGUGUGAAUGUCUUUUAAUUCCUUCCAUUUAAAUUAUGGAUACCUUUGUGAAAAAAAUAAUUAAUGCACUUUGUAAUUAACAAUUUAACACAGAAAAAAAAAAGGAUUUAUAGAAAAUGAUAAGAAAAAUUUAUAAGAGAAUCUUACAUUCAGACAUAAUUGUAAUUGUAUACAGUAGUCUCUCAGUCCUUUUUCAUUAACAUAUAUAGUUUUCAUAUUUAUUGGGAAAAAAGAUAAGUGGUAUACUUAAUGUUAACCCUUGACUGUGCAUAUUUUAAAACACUUAGUGUUAUUAAUUGUAGAGGUUUAUUUAAGAAAACAGUGAAUGUAUCUAAUACGCCCUUCAUUCUUACUUUUAAAAUUAUCGUUUAGGUAGAAAAUACUUGUUCAUAUUUAUUUUGAUAUAUAAAAUUUAAUGUAAUAUUAACUAUUAUUAUUUUUAUUAAUAAUAUAUUUGAUUAUUUAUUGCCUAUAGAGAAAUAGAUAUAAUGAAAUAAUAAACUUGUUUUUUAGUAAAGAAAGAAAUAAUAAAUUAUUAAACGUAUUUUAGAUAACAGAAAAAUAAUUUUAAAUAAGAAGUUUUAACAUUAAAUUUGUUUAAUUAUAAUUUUGGUCAGUUUAUUUUCAUUAAUUCUCAAAACUUAUCUCUCUAUUUUAAAAUUUGAUAGUUUCGAUUUCUUCUCCAUAUAUUUAAUAAAAAAUAAUGAUUUGAUGUAUUUUAAAUGAUGUGACAUAAUAUUUUAUAAUGAUUUAAAUACUUUAAUUAUUUAUAUAUUAUUAAUUAAAUUACAAAAAUAAAUAAUUUUAAAAGUUAAAAUUGAAGUUUAGAAUACUUAAUUUUAAUUUCAUUGACAUUUGACCAUUCAACAUUAUCAUGUUAUAUAUCACAUUAUUUAAAACGUGACAUAUUAUUAUUUUUUAGUUAAAAAAAUUGAGAAAUAAACUAAAAUUAUAACAUUUUAAAAUAGAAAUAUCAAUUUUGUAAAGUAGAUAAAAAUGAAAGAAUUAAAAUUAUAAUUAAGCCUGUUAAAUUUUUCACAUAAAUCAAGAUUAAACUUCUCAACAUAUGUGUUAGUUUUCAGUUACUACAUUUAAUACUAUCGAUAUAAGAGAUUUACUAUUUCCAAUGACAAAUAAAACAUUUUUUUUUUGUAAAGAAUAGCGAGUAAGAGAUAUCUAUUAUAUUUUUUUAUAUUGGAUCCCUCACGAUUAUAGAACUAUCUUAUAAAUGAGAAAUGUCUCUUUUUUAUGAACUCAUUUGAAAUUUUAUUUUUAUUCUAUCUCAAACUUUGAUUUUUUUCUAAUAAUUUUUUGGAUUAAUUGCAGUUUUAAUUCUACUAUUAUUAUCAAUUCACGACAUUGGUCCCCUAUUUUAAAAAUUGAUUGCUUUGAUCAUUCAUUCAGAUAUUUGAACUAAAAAAUGACUAUUUGACAUAUUUUUAAUGACGUAACAUAUAGUUAUAUGAUAUAGAACCAUCUAGAAUCACUAAUUAUUCAUAUGUUAUUAAUUAAUUUAAAAGUACAAAAAAUUUCUGAAGUUAAAAUUUAAGUUUUUACGACGUUUUAUUCAAAUUACACAGUGUUAGUCAUUUUAAAUCAUCGUAUCAUAUGUCAUAUUAUUUAAAACAUUACACGUCAUUAUUCUUUAGUUAAAAAAAAAAAAAACAAAGAGAUGAACCAACUAUGUCAACUUUUAAAACAGAAGACUAAUUUCAUGAAUCAAUAAAAAUAGAUGAACUAAAAUUACAACUAAGUAUAAUUUUUUAAUAGACACAUGUUACUAAAUUAGAGGUUAUGUUAAUUUAAUGGUCUAAACUUAGAACAUCUCAAAAUAUGACAGAUCAGAUAAGCAUGCUUCUCAUGUACGUAUCCUCCUCAUAUUAUGCUAAUCACCUUGUAUAAAUAUAAAUACACAUACUAGGCUAAGUCACUUCACACACAUCAACAUUGUUAGUACCUCUCUCUCUCUCUCAUUAGUUUGACUAUUAUUGUUUAAAUCACUACAAAACAACCAUGAAGAGAGCUUCAUCGAUGAAGAACACACCACCAAUAGUAAUAGUAAAUGAAAAGUAUGGAGAAUGUAAGAAAAAUUUCUUGGUAAAAAGUGGAGGGUAUUUAACUGAUGGAUGCAUGGAGUUUAUGGCAAGUAGGGCAGGAGGAACCAAUGCUGCAAUGACUUGUGAUGCUUGUGGUUGUCACAGAAACUUCCAUAAACAAGAAUGGUACUUUGUUGAGGCUACUUCUUCUUCUUCUUCUUCUUCAACUCAACCACCUAAGGCUCCUUAAGGAUUAUGUUCUUUG
rnacentral:lncRNA from 1 species